GCCGUGACGUACUGGUUAGCGCUUCGGACUUGUAACCGGAGGGUUGCCGGUUCGAACCCUGACCAAUAGGCA
rnacentral:tRNA from 1 species